UUUCCACGUCUCAGAUCUUUAAAGGAGUAUGGUGUUAAUGCUUGAGUCGAAUAGCCGUAGUUUGGUCUUGAGUGUCAAAUGCAGCUCUUGCCUUGCCCAUUCUUGUGGUUAACCAUCAAGCUGGCCAGUGUCUUUCUGUUUGCACUUUGGUCAUUGUGCUAAUAUGGAGACCUGUCUCAGCUGACUUCUGUUCUACCCCUCUCAGUUUCUCUUACAUUUGUUGGUGUUUUUGGGACAGUGAUGUGAUAUAAUCUGCAAAGUCUAGGUCGUCCAGUUGUGUAAAUGGGGUCCAUUGGAUCCCAUUGCGCCUGUUGUCAGUGGCUUGCCGCAUGACCUAGUCGGCCGCAUGAUGUAGUCAACCUUCGAAGAGGAAUGGUAAUCAAGAAAGUAGACAGCCUUGACUAACUCCUGUUGAGAUGUGAAAUGCCUCUGUCAGCUGGCCUUUAUGUUUUUAGUCAGGAUUAAUCCUGACUCCAACAAGUGCACUGCCAAGGAGCAGAUGAGCAAGACGACUGGGAGAGUGGUGAAGCGGAAGACUUCAUACAUGAACCCCCAUGUCAUCUCCUUCAUCAGGGACUUCACGGAGUUCUAUUUGCUAACUGACUAGAUACAGGGCUCCAACUAGGAUUCUAGGUCUCCAAGGUCAGGGCAUGCAAGAGGCCAUAGUGGCAGGGGAAGUUUAUUUUCCUUUCUGUUUUAAAUGUUGAUGCAAAUGUUAAAUA